CUGCAGGCCCGGCCGGGUGGGUGGCUCCGGUCCGCAGCACGUCGAGCGGGUGGGCGCCGCCGAGCUGAGAGGCGUUCUCUCCUGUGUCGGAGGAUUCGAUGGCUGUUGUAUAUGUUUGUUUCUUAAGAUCUGCGUGUUUGUGGUCUAAUAGCCUUCACGCAUUUGGCUCUGUAUAGCUGUGUGUAGCUCUGCCCCCUGCCCGCUACCUGCUUUAGGGCGCCUCACGGCGUUUGGAUGGGAUCGCCUCCGUAGCAUAGGGAGAGCUGCUCCGGGUCAGGGCUGUGCGCUGUGUCGGUUCCAGCUGAGCAGCGGUACUCUAUGUGCUUGCCAUCUAGGCGUUCUCCUGGGUAACGCCCUGCCGCUGCCCUCCUGCCCGAGGAGAACUGCUCAGGCCGCGAGGGCAUUGGGUGAGCUGUGCUUCUCUGUCAAGAUGGGAGCGAUGUGUGCUGAUGUGCUGUUUUCUAACGCGUGUUGUUCUAUAGAGAUGGAUGAAGAUGUGAUGUGGUGAAGCUUGAGCAUUUGUUGUCGAAUUCCUGGUGGCAGUCGUAGAUGGCUACUGCUUUGACUCCAGCGUCUGCAAUACUGGCAGGAGAAAAACAGUAGCAACAGUAAUGUGUCUGCAGGAGUGAGUUCAAGCCCCAUCUUCCUUCCAUCAUACAAAUGUUAUGAGCACAUUUUGCAGAGAUCUGUGUAACUGCAAAAUCUCAGUGGUGUUAAAGGAGUCAAGACAGCAGAAGGAUAAAGAAGGAAGAAAGUAGGUUUCCCUGUCAAUUCUGCCUCUCCAAGAACUGUUAAACAUAUUGUUCUGGUUGCAAGUGACAGGCUACAAACCUCUUCUUGCUGUAGGUGACUUCAAGCUGUAGUUCAUCCAGAUGCUUAAAUGGAAAUAAGGUAAGGGCCUUUGCAUAGCAGCUGUACAGCCUAAAGACCACUCUGUCAAAUGGUCUUUAAGUAUUAUCUAUAGAUAACAUUCCACAGGACUGCUUAGCAGAUGCAAGUUACAGAGCUAUUAGCAAGCAGUGAUGUAGCAUCUGGUGGAACUCAGAUGAUAAAAGGGCUCAGUCUUUAUCAGUACCACAAGAGGCACUGACAGUGCAGUCUGUUUUGAAACUCAUUUCAGAGAAGGCUGUUGUUUUGGAUCACCUUGAACUAUUCUGGAGAAAUAAAGGGUCACCUUAUCAAUUUUAUAAAGAACCACUUUCUUUCCAAGGAAGAGAAGGAUGAUGCAUAUAGAACAUAAGUUAGUGUGGCCAGAAGAAACAAACAAACAAAAAAAACUUUGUUUCUGUAGAAAUUAGUGAAUGUAGAUGAACACCUAUAUUAUUUCAUCUUAACCUUUUGUCAAAACAUGUCCAGAGGAAUUAAAAGGAAAAGGCAUGCUUCUUCUUGGCCAAAGAACAAAGAAGAUAUUCACUAAUCCUCUAGUGGCAAAAAGGCUCAAGACUUUUCUUCCAUAUUCAAAGCCAAAAAGGUUCAUCCUUAUUUUGGAAUUGUCAGCUAGGGCUUUUGACCAUAAAUCCCACUCAAUCUUGUACAAAACAGAAAUAAGUCUUUCUGCCAAAGUAUUGUUGAUAUCUAGCGGAUGGAUCAGUGAUACUUAGGGGGUACAUGGAUUUGUCUUUCAGUUAAGUAGUUCCCAAGGAUCAGAUGCAGGGAAACUAUACCACUUCAUAGACUGAGGGCAAAUGUGGGUUAUCAGCUUGUUACUGUAAUGUGUUGAGCACAGUAGGGUUGAGGAUCCUAUCCACAGUGCAUGCUAUCCUGGCUUCUGAGGUUUGGGAACAACCGUUCUUUUGAGAACACCUGGCCCUGCACAGUCAUGCUCCUUGAGUAAUUUGUCAGUGCCACAACUGAUGAGGUAAGUGAAAUGGAAAAGGAUGUCCCUGCUGGAUGUGAGGAACCAUAGUAACGUUGUAUAUUACUAGGCAGCAUUCCAGGGAGAAUAUUAAUUAUGUAUUGGUGAGUGUGAAGAGGUAAACCACAUAGUGGGGAAGCCAGGCUUUGGACACUUUAUAUGGAUCGUUUAGUUUGCAGAAUUAUUCAGAGUUGUUGCAAGUCUUAAAAAGGUUAGGCAGAAUUGUCAUGAUAGGAUGAAGACCCACACAUAUGUUAUGGCAGACCAAAACCUAUAUUUCAGGAUUCUUGCAGGUUCUAAAGAAUGUGUGGAGUGGGAUACGGCUCUUUCUUUUCAUUUUGGCAGCCUGCUGCUCAUACAGGGAGAGGAGAAUAGAGUUGAGUUCCACCAGUGAAGAGUAGUACCACUGCCAAAACUUAAGUGCAGCAGCAAGCCUUGAGUUGGUCUCUUUUAAUCUGGAACAAAGAUGUUACUCUGCAGGUGAUAUACUUGAGCUGUGUAGCAACGUCUCAAAACUUCAUUCUGCAAGGGAAGAGGAUGCCAAAGCAGAUGAACAGCCUUUAUGUUUACGUGAUUCUUUCAUCUUGAAAUACUUCACUGGAGAAUUUGUUAACCAGCACAGGUGAAAGCUGGUAAGCAGGAGAUAUCCCAUCUAUAAAGAUCUUUCUCGCACAGUGAGUCAGCAGUGGCAACUUGAAUCAAAACCUGAUGCUGCCAAGCAGGGGUGUGAAGAUUGUGAUGGAGUGGGAUCAAAACCAUACACUCACUUAGCUAGUGCCAAAAAAACCACCAAAACUGUGAGGGUCUUGCUGCCCUCUGAACUUUUUCUUUUUGCUUGAAAUUAUGUGGCAUCUGUUAGAGUCAUUUCCUCCUUUUCCAAAAAUGGAAUGAGUACUAUUUUGAGGCACUCUCACUAGUGAGAUGAAACAGGAAAGAAACAAAUCUUUGAGAUUAUAGAAGUGUGUGCUUAGGUCUUGUCAAAUAUACCAGAUAAUACAGUGCACUGUUGCAUUUUGAAAGAAUAUGCGCUAACCUACUGGUAUUUAACAUUGAGGAUCCUGAUCUGGUAGGCUACAAUGUCAGUGAGAGGUGGUUCAUGUCAGGCCUGUUAGGAUCUCUGUGCUGCUGCUGUGAAGCAGUGUAUCAAGAUUAUGUGUAUUCUGUGUCAGAGCCUAGCUAGUCUAUAGGAGAAGUCCUCAUACCUCACUCACUCCUGAAGGUAAUUGAGGGUAUCAAGAGCAGCGAUGAACCCUGCCUGUAAGUUAUUAAUUUGAAGUGGGGUUAACAUCUUCAGCACAGGCACCAGGAAAUGAAGCUCAGCAGUCUUGAAACUCUGCAGAGAAUCUAAGGAUCCUGGAGGCCUUUCUGUAUUAUGCUAAAGUAGAUUAGAAGACUCUCAUUUCAGAUCUGUUAGGAGAUCGGGUCCUGGCACUGUAACACAUCAUUCUGAUCGAUUCAGGCUGUGGUAUAACUCCUUGCUCAAUAGGUCAUGGCAAUCAAUGAUGCCGCCUCUAUAAUGAAAUGAUUUUGGAAGUGCCGCUUCCUGGUUUUAUCAGCGUGAAGUUUCAGACAUGACGCAUUAUGGUUACCAAACAUGCCCUACAUACAGGGCAGGGAGAGCUGGAAGAUGAAUCUCAAGAAAGUCACAUAAAUAGAAUACUGGAGAAUAAAGCAUAAGAUCAGACAGCAAAAAGAUAGUUAAAUGGAACAAAUACAUAUAUGGAAUGCUGUCUUAUUGAAGGGAUGUGCAGCUAUGGAAUGCUGUAAUAUACCUGGCAGAAAAAGGAAACUGGAAGAGUGCCAGGCUGACUUGUGCAUCAGACAUGGGAGGAAUAUGGAUGCCAUCAAGUUCUGUGGAAAGCUUGUCUCCAGUUGUAAAGCAUUUGUACAGCUGCAAGACAGAUACACAUGGAUUAUCACUUAAAAGAUGGAAAAAAAACAUGUUUUCUAUCAUA